GAUGAACGCUAUCGGGAGGCCUAACACAUGCAAGCCGAGCGGUAUUGUUUCUUCGGUAAUGAGAGAGCGGCGUACGGGUGCGUAACACGUCUGCAACCUGCCUUUAUCUGCGGGAUAGCCUUUCGAACGGAAGAUUAAUGCUCCAUAAUAUAUUGAACGGCAUCGUUUAAUAUUUAAAGCUCCGGCGGCUAGCGAGGGGCACUCCCAAGAUUAGCUAGUUGGUGAGGUAACGGCUUACCACGGCGAUGAUCUUUAGGGGGCCUGAGAGGGUGAUCCCCCACACUGGUACUGAGACACGGACCAGACUCGUACGGGAGGCCGCAGUGAGGAAUCUUGGGCUAUGGGAGCCAGCCCGAGCCUGCCAUCCCGCGUGAAGGACGACUGCCCUAUGGGUUGUAACCUUCUCUUGCCUAGCGAUAAACCUCCCCCCGUGAGGGUAGCUGACGGUACUAUACGAAUAAGCACCGGCUAACUCCGUG
rnacentral:rRNA from 1 species